UUUGUGCCGGCCGACACUG
rnacentral:misc_RNA from 1 species